CCUGGGCUGGGGUGUAGCUCCAGAACCUAGCCUCCAACUCCCGCCAGCAGGUUUACGCAUGCGCGGCGACGCCUAGGCCUGUGGCACGGAGAGAAUUACCUCUGAUAAGAAACUUUUAUAAUCUAUUCUCUCUGAUGCCUGCUACCUGGAGACUUCAUCUGCAUAAUGAGAACCUUGGUCUCUACAACCCCUCAUCUUAACCCAGACAUCCCCUUCUAUUAGUUCUAUUUGCAUAAUGGAAACCCUGGUCUCCACAACCCCUUAUCUUAACCCAGACAUUCCUGUCUAUUGAUUCUAAGGCUUUAGACAACAAUUUAACUCUUUCAACCUAUUGCCAAUUAGAAAAACUUUGAAUCUACCUAUAACAUGGAAGCCACUCCUUCCAGUUGUCCCAUCUUUCUGGACGAAACCAAUAUACCCCUUACAUAUAUUGAUUGAUGUUUUAUUUCUCCCUAAAAUGCAUAAAACCUAGCUGUAUCCUGUAUCCUGACCACCUUGGGCACAUAUUCUCACAAUCUUCUGAGGGCUGCGUCAUGAGCAAUCUGUCACUCAUAUUUGGAUCAGAAUAAAUCCCUUCAAAUAUU